GACGAACGCUGGCGGCGUGCUUAACACAUGCAAGUCGAACGGAAGGGCCCUGCUUUCGUGGGGUGCUCGAGUGGCGAACGGGUGAGUAACACGUGAGUAACCUGCCCUUGACUUUGUGAUAACUUCAGGAAACUGGGGCUAAUACCGGAUAGGAGCUCCUGCUGCAUGGUGGGGGUCGGAACGUUUCGGCGGUGGGGGAUGGACUCGCGGCUUACCAGCUUGUUGGUGGGGUAGUGGCUUACCAAGCCUUUGACGGGUAGCCGGCAUGAGAGGGUGAACAGCCACAAUGGGCCUGCGAGACGGACCAGACGGCUACGGGAGGCAGCAGUGGAGAAUAUUGCACAGCGGGCGGAAGUCUGAGGCAGCAACGCCGCGUGCGGGAUGACGGCCUUCGGGUUGUAAACCGCUUUCGCCUGUGACGAAGCGUGAGUGACGGUAAUAGGUAAAGAAGCACCGGCUAACUACGUG
rnacentral:rRNA from 1 species